CCUACGGGGGGCAGCAGUGAGGAAUAUUGGUCAAUGGUAGGGAGACUGAACCAGCCAAGCCGCGUGAGGGAGGACGGUACAGAGUAUCGUAAACCUCUUUUGUCAGGGAACAAAAACUGGGACGCGUCCCCGGCUGCGUGUACCUGAAGAAAAAGCAUCGGCUAACUCCGUGCCAGCAGCCGCGGUAAUACGGGGGAUGCGAGCGUUAUCCGGAUUUAUUGGGUUUAAAGGGUGCGUAGGCGGUCUGUUAAGUCAGCGGUAAAAGGCCGGGGCUCAACCCCGUCGCGCCGUUGAAACUGGCAGUCUCGAGUGGGCGAGAAGUAUGCGGAAUGCGUGGUGUAGCGGUGAAAUGCAUAGAUAUCGCGCAGAACUCCGAUUGCGAAGGCAGCAUGCCGGCUCCAAACUGACGCUGAGGCACGAAAGCGUGGGUAUCGAACAGGAUUAGAUACCCUUGUAGUC
rnacentral:rRNA from 1 species